UGAGUAAAGGCCUGAUCCAGUGCCCACUGAGGGCAGUGGGAGUUUUCCAUUGGCUUCAAUGGGCUUUGGAUCAGGCCUCAAGAGA
rnacentral:pre_miRNA from 1 species